CGGAACGUCGUCCGUAGGUGGGGGAUAACUCGGCGAAAGCCGAGCUAAUACCGCAUAUGCUCUACGGAGGAAAGUGGGGGAUCGCAAGACCUCACGCUAUGGGAGCGGCCGAUGUCCGAUUAGCUUGUUGGUGGGGUAAUGGCCUACCAAGGCGACGAUCGGUAGCUGGUCUGAGAGGAUGAUCAGCCACACUGGGACUGAGACACGGCCCAG
rnacentral:rRNA from 1 species